CCGAAGUGGUGGGGAUGCUUAUUGGGCCUAAAGCAUUCGUAGCCGGUUGGGCAAGUCCUCCGUUAAAUCCAACGAUUCAAUCGUUGGCCUGCGGGGGAUACUGCUCAACUAGGGGGCGGGAGAGGCCAACGGUAUUCUCGGGGUAGGGGUGAAAUCCUAUAAUCCCGGGAGGACCACCAGUGGCGAAGGCUGUCGGC
rnacentral:rRNA from 1 species